UAAGGACAUAGCUCAAUUGGUAGAGCGGUAGGUUUUCACCCUAUUGGUUGCAGGUUCAAGUCCUGUUGUUCUUAU
rnacentral:tRNA from 1 species